rnacentral:rRNA from 1 species
UAGAACGUCGUGAGACAGUUCGGUCCCUAUCUGCCGUGGGCGCUGGAGAACUGAGGGGGGCUGCUCCUAGUACGAGAGGACCGGAGUGGACGCAUCACUGGUGUUCGGGUUGUCAUGCCAAUGGCACUGCCCGGUAGCUAAAUGCGGAAGAGAUAAGUGCUGAAAGCAUCUAAGCACGAAACUUGCCCCGAGAUGAGUUCUCCCUGACUCCUUGAGAGUCCUGAAGGAACGUUGAAGACGACGACGUUGAUAGGCCGGGUGUGUAAGCGCAGCGAUGCGUUGAGCUAACCGGUACUAAUGAACCGUGAGGCUUAACCUUACAACGCCGAAGCUGUU